rnacentral:rRNA from 1 species
GCCGUGGCGGGCGGCUUACACAUGCAGUCGAACGCAUCGCAAGAUGAGUGGCAGACGGGUGAGUAACACGUGGGAAUCUACCCAUCCCUGCGGAACAACUCCGGGAAACUGGAGCUAAUACCGCAUACGCCCUUUGGGGGAAAGAUUUAUCGGGGAUGGAUGAGCCCGCGUUGGAUUAGCUAGUUGGUGGGGUAAAGGCCUACCAAGGCGACGAUCCAUAGCUGGUCUGAGAGGAUGAUCAGCCACAUUGGGACUGAGACACGGCCCAAACUCCUACGGGAGGCAGCAGUGGGGAAUAUUGGACAAUGGGCGCAAGCCUGAUCCAGCCAUGCCGCGUGAGUGAUGAAGGCCUUAGGGUUGUAAAGCUCUUUCACCGAUGAAGAUAAUGACGGUAGUCGGAGAAGAAGCCCCGGCUAACUUCGUGCCAGCAGCCGCGGUAAUACGAAGGGGGCUAGCGUUGUUCGGAAUUACUGGGCGUAAAGCGCACGUAGGCGGAUAUUUAAGUCAGGGGUGAAAUCCCGGGGCUCAACCCCGGAACUGCCUUUGAUACUGGGUAUCUUGAGUAUGGAAGAGGUUAGUGGAAUUGCGAGUGUAGAGGUGAA